GUUAUAAUAGUUUAAAUAAAACACUGGUUUUGUAAACCAGAUUUAGAUACAUAAUCUUUAUAACU
rnacentral:tRNA from 1 species